rnacentral:lncRNA from 1 species
UUUUUUUUUUUUUACUUUAGUGAUCAUCAUUACCCGAUUUUUACCUUGUUUAUAUAAAGUACAGAUGUUACUAAACAGUUUCUUCAGUCAGAAUACCUGAGUUCAAAUCCUGCUUCUACCUUACUUUUGGAAAGAAUCUGACAUCUUUGAGCUGCAAUUUUUUUAUCUGUACAAUGAAUAUAAGAGUUCCAAGUACUUCCUAGAGUAGUUGUGAAAAUUAUAUGAAUUAGUUCAGGUAAAGUAGAUUGUUAUUUUAAUACUUAUAUACUAUCACUUCAAGGUAUGGCAGAAAAAUCACUGUAUAUUACAUAGAGAGAAUAUGAUAAUACUUCCAAAUUUUCAGAUUCUCCACAUGGUCCUGUGUAAAUCACUAAGCACAUCAAAAUCUCAGGGAUUUUUACUGUUUCAUUUUUAAUAUUGAAAAUAUUACUAAAUAGGUUAUUCAUGAGGAUUGAACUGAAUAAUAAACGUAUAUUAGCAUAGUCUCAUUAGCAUAGGCUCAUUGAAUUCAUAUUUUUAAAAAAAUUUAGUCAAAUUCAUGGGAAAAUAUAAUAUAAACACACUUAAAAAGCAAGAGAUAAAGGGAAGAAAAAUCUUGUUAUAAAUAUAGUAGCAAGGUUUAUAUUUUUCAUAUAUAAAGUGUUCUUAGAAAUAAUUAAAAACCCACUAAGAUUUCAAUAGCUAAAUGGAUAAAGAACCAGAGAAGGUAAAUUGCCAAAAGAGAAAAACCUAAUGGCAAAUAAAUAAAUAAAUGUAUUUCUAUAUAUAUAAAUAUAUAUCAAAUAUAAUAUAUAUAAAUAUAUAUCAAAUAUUAUAUACACACAUAUAUAAAUAUAUAUAUAUUAAAUCAACGCCAUUAUAUAGUGGGAAAAAAUCAGGUUUUUUUUUUCCACUUAUGACAGAGUGCUUCCCAUGAUAUGGUGGCUUAAUCAUAAUGGUGCUGCUAGAAACUUGGAUUAGCAUAACCUCAUGAGAACUCUAAUUAUUGUAAUCUUUUUGGAGAGCAGAUUGACAAUACACAUCCAGGUCUUAAAAAGUGGUCGUAACAUUGGGCCUAGUAAAUCAUGCAAAGAAAAUAACCAGAAAUGCUGAAUAAUUAUUAUGCUUAAAGUUGUUCAUGAAUACUUUUUUUUAAAAAGAUUUUAUUUAUUUAUUUGAGAGAGUGAGUACAAGUGGGAGGAGGGGUUGGGGGAGAGAGAGAGAGAGAGAGAGAGAGAGACAAGUGGACUCCUCACUGAGCAUGAGACUCUAUCCCAUGACCCUGGACCAUGACAUAAGCUGAAGUCAGAUGCUGAACCAACUGAGCCACCCAGGAGCCCCAUACCUUAAGUUUUAAUAGCAAAAAAAAAAAAAAUUGUAAUAAUUUCACUGUGUGACGAGAGGGGAAUUGACUUAAAAAUAAUAUUAAUUGAGAGAAACUAUUUAUAAUGUCAAAUGAAAACAGCAAUUUGAGUUAUGUUUCUGUGUGUGUGUUAUUGAUUAUACAACCAGGUUAUUAAUGAGCAAGACUCCUUAAGGCUCAAUAUAAAAGAGCUUUACUUUUCCCCAAUAUUAUAUUCAAUCUGCUUUACUAGCUCUUUCUUUUGUACCAGUGGGACAGUAUCUUUAGGAUGUCACAUAGCUGUCCAGUCAUUAGAAUGCUCUUAUUUUCAGGAACUGAGAAGUCUAGUUCACAAUGGCUGAGGUGGAGGAAACAUUAGAGUGCUUUCCACUCCUAUGAAAUCCAUUCAAGAAAUCCUCUUAUCUUUGUCAUUACAGUAAAACUCCAGCCAUUUAUAAGUAGCUUGGCAAUAUGUGAUGGAUGGGCUAGCUAGAGUUUCUGGAAUGAUUUUGGCCACCUCUCAGCAAGUUCAGAGGUGAUAUAUCAAGCACUUUUCAGAACAGGUGGGUGUUUAUCACCUGUCAUCCUGAGCUGUGUUAUAAAUCCAGCUCCUCUGUUUAGAAAAUAUGGGCAAUUAUCACUUACAGUACUCAGCUUUGGUACCUUUGUUAAAAAAUACUUUCCAACAGUCUUUUAAUUUGGGAUCGCAGAUCAUUUCUGUUCUCUUCUUGAUAUUGUGUCUAUAAUUUUUUAAGUAUUUAGUCUUAUAUUUAUAAGAACAAAACAGUAACUACUAAGUAUUUCCAUUUUGUUGGUCCCAGUGCGUAUUAGUCAUAUCACCUUAAAUACAUUAUAAUCUUCUUGAAGACAACAAUCACUUUUUAUAUAAAUCAUGGAUACGGAAUAAAAUUACUAUUUAGAAAAAAUGUUGGCAGAGGUAAACCAUAGAUUAAUCAAUAUAGAUCUUUGAGAGGGAAGAAGGAAUCAGACUGGGAAUAGCUUUUACUCACCCAAAUAAUAAUGUGGUAUAACUAUAUCUUUAUUACUGCUUCUGGUUCUGCUUAAUAGCACUACAUUACUGCUAUUCUCUGUGGGUUAAACUCUAUGAAACUUUCUAGUUUUGUUGUAUGAUAUCUCUAAAAAUAAGAACUGGUUACUUCAGAAGGAGGAUUUAAGAAGUGAUAUAUUUUUACCAAGUUUACUCAACUACAAAGUUGGCACAGCUGGUGUUCAAACUGGCUUGAUAUGACUUUGUCUCAGACUAAAGGAAAAUUUUAUUAGGAAAAAUGUGGAGCAUAGUGUUAUCCCUACAUUCAAAAUUCCCUCUCUUGCCAAGGUGAAAAAUCACCAUGGGUAUUUGGUUCUGGAUAAUCAAGGUAUAUAAGAUUAUUGGUACCUGGCAUUUAUGGAUAAAAAGAUGGUAAUGUAAAUAGGAUAUGUAUUAUAUGUAAAGUCUGAUACAAUGUAGCAUAACAUGUUCCCAUGCAGAACUUAUUUUGAUUUGCAAAGGGAGAUUUAAUUAUUACAGCUUGCGAAGUCCUCCUUUUAUUGAGAUUAACAAGGUAGAAUGUUGUAGCCACAUGCUGAAUCCCAUGGCUGGCUUGAAUCUAACAAGGACCAGUUGCUUCAUUCAAUUUCUUUAUUCCUCCAAAAUGCAAUUAACAGACUGUGAUUAGUUGAACAAAUUCCAAAUCGUAUUCAAAUGAAAGCAAUUUACCCUGAGUCUGGGUCCAACAGGUGAUCAUUUUCAAAGCUCCUGGAAGAAUUUAGAUGGUUUCAUCUAAUUGUUCUCAGAAAGAAAUGGACUUAAAUGCAUGAUUCCAACAGGCCCCUCCAAGCACAGCCCAUAUGGUGGUUCAGUGUUGGCCUUUCAGCUUCACUAGCCCAAAGGGCAGCCUGCUGAUUACAUCUUGCUUCCAAAAUAUUUUUAUGGUGAACUAAAAUGUUUCAAUCCAGCACAAAAUAACAGCUGAAAUUUCCUAACUACUAAGCGAAGAAAGUUGCAGGGAUAUGCUCCAGGGAGCAGGGUGUUUGUGUGGGGGAGGGUUGCAAUUCGGAGGAGGGAAAUAGGAGAGUAACAGAAGACUAAAAAUAAACAUUGUAUGCUGGAUGGGAAGCAUUAAAAGAUACUUCUUUUAUUGUGAGGGUUAAACAGGCCAUUGAAACUGUAAGGUGUGCAUUAUUUUCUUCAUUAUUCCAAGGAAGAAAGAAGGCUUAGGAAAUAUUAAUAACAUUUGCAUAAAGCAUACGUGGUUUGAACAUGGAAAAGUAGGAUAUUCAAAACCACAUAGCAUAGCUCCCCGCAUAUCAGAGGAUAUGUUCCAAAACCCCCAAUGGGUGCCUAAACCCUCAUGUACUAUGUUUAGUUUAUAGUACUGGACCCAUCUUAAUAUGUUUUUUCCUAUACAUACAUACCUAUGACAAAGCUUACUUUAUAAAUGAGGCACACUGAUAAAUUAACAAAAUAAUAAAAUAGAACAAUUAUAACAAUAUGCUGUAAUAAAAGUUAUAUGGGACGCCUGGGUGGCUCAGCAGUUGAGCGUCUGCCUUCAGCUCAGGGUGUGAUCCUGGUCCAAGGAACGAGUCCCGAUUGAGCUCCCUGUGAGGAGCCUGUUUCUCCCUCUGCCUAUGACUCUGCCUCUCUCUGUGUCUCUCAUGAAUAAAUAAAUACAAUCUUAAAAAUAUGUAUGUAUGAAUAUGGUCUCUGCUCUCAAAAUAUCUUCUUGUGAUGAUGUGAAAUGAUAAAACAUCUCUGUUAUGAGAUAGAGAGGUGAAUGACGUAAGCAUUGUGACACAGAAUUAGGUUACUGCUGACCUUCUGAUAAUAGGUCAUAAGGAGGAUCAUCUGCUUCCAGAAAGUGGUUGAUCAUGGGUAACUGAAACCACGGAAAGAUAAACUAUAGGAAGGGGGUAUUACUAUAAAAAUAUAUAAUGUUAAAGGCCUUUUUCUUUCUUCUCCAUCACAUUGCCUUUGUUUAUAUUUUAAGCAUCAUAGAAAUGUGGCUGAAACCUUUUGUCUUCAGUUCAUCUAAGAAAGAAAGUCUAAUUUAAAAAGAAUUACAGGGAUGCCUGGGUGGCUCAGCAGUUGAGCGUCUGCCUUUCGCUAAGGGCAUGAUCCAGAAGUCGUAGGAUUGAGUCCCACAUCAGGCUCCUUGCGUGGGGCCUGCUUCUCCCUCUGCCUGUGUCUCUGCCUCUCUCUUUAUCUGUCUCUCAUGAAUAAAUAAAUACAAUCUUUAAAAAUGAAUAAAUAAAAAUUUAAAAAUAAAAAAUAAAAAGAAUUACACACAACACCCACCCACCCCCACACACGUUAUUUUUGACUUCCCAUUCUGCAUAUAAAGGAAGAAUGAGCUUCAAAGUCACCACUCUAUUAUAACAACAAGUAAAAAAGCUAAAAAGGCUGAAAAUCACAUAUCUUCUUGGAUCUGUAAGAGAGGUGAGGGCAUAGGGCAAACUAUUGCCCUCAUAAGAGUCAGAUGGGUGAAUUCAGAGAGUCAUGGCUUAUAGGAGCAGUGACUUAUGAGCAGAAACCACCUUUGAGCCAAUGCCAAGGUAGAAAAAUCU